GUGGGGACCUUUCCACGGUCUCCGUGUCGCAGCUAACGCAUUAAGUUCCCCGCCUGGGGAGUACGGCCGCAAGGCUAAAACUCAAAGGAAUUGACGGGGGCCCGCACAAGCGGCGGAGCAUGCGGAUUAAUUCGAUGCAACGCGAAGAACCUUACCAAGGCUUGACAUAUACCGGAAACUUCCAGAAAUGGUUGCCCCGCAAGGUCGGUAUACAGGUGGUGCAUGGUUGUCGUCAGCUCGUGUCGUGAGAUGUUGGGUUAAGUCCCGCAACGAGCGCAACCCUCGUUCUAUGUUGCCAGCACGUCAUGGUGGGAACUCAUAGGAGACUGCCGGGGUCAACUCGGAGGAAGGUGGGGAUGACGUCAAAUCAUCAUGCCCCUUAUGUCUUGGGCUUCACGCAUGCUACAAUGGCCGGUACAAAGGGCUGCGAUACCGUAAGGUGGAGCGAAUCCCAAAAAGCCGGUCUCAGUUCGGAUUGAGGUCUGCAACUCGACCUCAUGAAGUCGGAGUCGCUAGUAAUCGCAGAUCAGCAACGCUGCGGUGAAUACGUUCCCGGGCCUUGUACACACCGCCCGUCAAGUCAUGAAAGUCGGUAACACCC
rnacentral:rRNA from 1 species